GUCAAGAUGGCCGAGUGGUCUAAGGCGCUGCAUUCAAGACGUCGUCUUACUCAGUUAACUAGGGUGUUCUGCAGUAUCGAAAGAUUCUUGGGUUCGAAUCCCAAUCUUGACA
rfam:Fusarium oxysporum f. sp. cubense race 1 unplaced genomic scaffold scaffold48, whole genome shotgun sequence.